UGGGGAAUAUUGCACAAUGGGCGCAAGCCUGAUGCAGCCAUGCCGCGUGUAUGAAGAAGGCCUUCGGGUUGUAAAGUACUUUCAGUCGGGAGGAAGGUGGUAAGGUUAAUAACCUUAUCAAUUGACGUUACCGACAGAAGAAGCACCGGCUAACUCCGUGCCAGCAGCCGCGGUAAUACGGAGGGUGCAAGCGUUAAUCGGAAUUACUGGGCGUAAAGCGCACGCAGGCGGUUGAUUGAGUCAGAUGUGAAAUCCCCGGGCUCAACCUGGGAACUGCAUCUGAUACUGGCAAGCUUGAGUCUCGUAGAGGGGGGUAGAAUUCCAGGUGUAGCGGUGAAAUGCGUAGAGAUCUGGGGGAAUACCGGUGGCGAAGGCGGCCCCCUGGACGAAGACUGACGCUCAGGUGCGAAAGCGUGGGGAGCAAACAGG
rnacentral:rRNA from 1 species